GGAGGAAGAAGAAGAAGAAGUGGGAGACGGGAAAAAGUUGAUGCUCGAUUUGAACAGAAAUUGAGUAAAUUGAUCAUCUCAGUUGGAAAAUUAGGUAUUGCAAUGUCUAGGAUGGUGAAGAUGCUGUUUGCAAGGAAAGAAAUGAGAACACUAACGGUGGGUACAUGAUGCUGCUGGUAAAACCACCAUCCUCUACAAGCUCAAACUUGCACAAUUGGUACUAUCUACUACUCCACUUUGGUUUAUAAAUUUAUUGUCUAUGUUUUGUAUUCCUGCAACUUCUACCUGUGUCUUAUUUUAG